rnacentral:rRNA from 1 species
CCGGCGACCGGCGCACGGUGAGUAACACGUAUGCAACCUGCCCUCUUCAGGGGGACGAACCUUCCGAAAGGGAGGCUAAUCCCGCGUAUAUCGGUUUCGGGCAUCCGAGAUCGAGGAAAGAUUCAUCGGAAGAGGAUGGGCAUGCGGCGCAUUAGCUAGACGGCGGGGUAACGGCUCACCGUGGCGACGAUGCGUAGGGGUUCUGAGAGGAAGGUCCCCCACACUGGUACUGAGACACGGACCAGACUCCUACGGAAGGCAGCAG